GGCUCGGUGGCGGAUGGUCCGCACCUGCAACGAUUGUGGAUGUACAUAUUCUUGCGAAGUUGAGCAGGGAUCUCUCGUUCGAUUCGAGGCUGAGCCA